rnacentral:rRNA from 1 species
ACGGGAGGCAGCAGUGGGGAAUAUUGCACAAUGGGGGAAACCCUGAUGCAGCGACGCCGCGUGAGUGAAGAAGUAUUUCGGUAUGUAAAGCUCUAUCAGCAGGGAAGAAAAUGACGGUACCUGACUAAGAAGCCCCGGCUAACUACGUGCCAGCAGCCGCGGCAAUACGUAGGGGGCAAGCGUUAUCCGGAUUUACUGGGUGUAAAGGGAGCGUAGACGGCUUUGCAAGUCUGAAGUGAAAGCUCGGGGCUCAACUCCGGAACUGCUUUGGAAACUGUAGAGCUAGAGUGCAGGAGAGGUAAGUGGAAUUCCUAGUGUAGCGGUGAAAUGCGUGGAUAUUAGGAGGAACACCAGUGGCGAAGGCGGCUUACUGGACUGUAACUGACGUUGAGACUCGAAAGCGUGGGGAGCAAACAGGAUUAGAUACCCUGGUA